GUGUUCACUUAGGCAGCACAUAUACUGACAUUGGAAAGAUACAGAGAAGAUUAGGAUGGCUACUGAGCAAGGAUCAUAAAAUUCCACCAUCAUCUUACUACGUUUAG
rnacentral:snRNA from 1 species